UUUUAUGGGAUGAUAACAUUGAUGGGGACAUCUGAAGUCUAUGAUUUGUCCAAUUUGCUAGUAGAACUGAAAAUA